GCGUUAACGAACGAGACCUUAACCUGCUAAAUAGCCAGGUCGGCUUUUGCUGAUCGCCGGCUUCUUAGAGGGACUGUCAGUGUCUAACUGACGGAAGUUUGAGGCAAUAACAGGUCUGUGAUGCCCUUAGAUGUUCUGGGCCGCACGCGCGCUACACUGACAGAGCCAGCGAGUUCUUUUCCUUGGCCGGAAGGUCUGGGUAAUCUUUUGAAACUUGAUCGUGCUGGGGAUAGUCCAUUGCAAUUAUUGGACUUCAACGAGGAAUUCCUAGUAAGCGUGAGUCAUCAGCUCGCGUUGAUUACGUCCCUGCCCUUUGUACACACCGCCCGUCGCUAAUACCGAUUGAAUGGCUA
rnacentral:rRNA from 1 species